AGCGCCCCCACGUAGGCGCGCAGCGAGAGGCCGAGGCGCCGCAGGUCCAGCACCGGGUAGGCCAGCAGCUGGCCCGGGCCGUGGAAGAGGACCAGCUAGGGAACUUGGGACACCAGCCAAUGGCCUGGAGAAUGGAUACCCCAGCGACUGGCGACCUGGUGACCCAGAGGCCCAGCUCAGGAGUCGCAGCCAGUUCUGGCCAGUGGGAGGACAAUGGGCUGUAAAGAGAGGACCCCCGGUAACCUAACAAGCCGGUUUCAGCCAGAGGGGGCCAGAGGACGGAAGAGAGGAGAGGAGGCCCAGCCGACCCUGUUUACCUGGAGAGAAGACAAUGGACAGAGGCAGGGCUUGAGGAUGGUGAUAUCAGAUGCCCAGCUGGGAAGCAGGAGGGCUCUGGGCUGGAGAGGGAGAGCAGGCAGAGCCCACCUGGAAGAAGGGGAGACUUGGAUGUGCUGUGCUGAGGGAAGCCAGGCUCGAGGGCCCUGAGAGUUUCCUGUGCUAUGUUCAAACGUUCAGUAAACCUUCCUGUUUUA